GUACUAUUCACACACAAAUAAUAUCUUGCUACAAUAUUUAUUUUAUGGCAAAAAAUAGACUAUAAUAUAUUCACUUCACAUAUAUCACAUUCAUUCAAACUCUUUUGCCUAUUAAAUGUACACACUUUUACAAACCAAUGGCAGCUCAGAUUUAAGCUCUUCUGAUUAUACAUUAUAUACUGUUUUUACAUUGUUGAUCACCAGACAGUACCACAUAAAAUUGCUUUUUAAACUAGAAAAUACGCAACAACUACAUAUACCAUGUGAUUUUGAAAAGGCAGAAUUCCCAAUGCAUUGCUUGAAUUAUAGGGAACUUUCUGAGAAAAUGUAUUUCAUAAAAAUUGUCUCUAAAUAUUUAAGUUUCUGCGGACAUUUGAGUCAUAUUAACAGCAGCUGGAAUUUUUAAAUACAUUAUUAUCCAGAUAUUCAUUUUUAAACUAUGCUUUGCUUAAUUUGCUAUGGGUGGGGUUUGGACUGCUUCAGUUUGUAACAAAGAAAUAUACAACAACAUCCUGUCUCGUUGCAGCAAUCUUCACCUGAACCAAGUAGGACUGUUGGAACAUCCCCCUCGAGCACAGCCGAGGGAGACACUGACGUGGCUUCACAGGAAAACAUUUAAUGUCCGCGUGAUAAAAGCUGUUUUAUAUUUUAAUGUAAAAAAUUACUUGAGAAUACAGUAAAAAGCAGCAAAUAUAUUCUAAAGGCCCAGUGCCAACCUUCGGAGUAAGGUUUAACUGUUCAAGUUUUUUAAGGCUUAAUA
rnacentral:lncRNA from 1 species